rnacentral:rRNA from 1 species
GCAUCUGGCCAUACCACUCUGAACAUGCCUGGUCUCCUCUGAUCUCAGAAGCUAAGCUGGGUUGGGCCUGGGUAGUACUUGGGUGGAAGGAAAGUGUGUGGAUACU